rnacentral:rRNA from 1 species
CGGGACGGGUGAGUAACGCGUGGGUAACCUGCCUCAUACAGGGGGAUAACAGUUAGAAAUGGCUGCUAAUACCGCAUAAGACCACAGCACCGCAUGGUGCAGGGGUAAAAACUCCGGUGGUAUGAGAUGGACCCGCGUCUGAUUAGCUGGUUGGUGAGGUAACGGCCCACCAAGGCGACGAUCAGUAGCCGACCUGAGAGGGUGACCGGCCACAUUGGGACUGAGACACGGCCCAG